GGCGGACGGGUGAGUAACACGUGGAUAACCUACCUAUAAGACUGGGAUAACUUCGGGAAACCGGAGCUAAUACCGGAUAACAUAUUGAACCGCAUGGUUCAAUAGUGAAAGGCGGCUUUGCUGUCACUUAUAGAUGGAUCCGCGCCGUAUUAGCUAGUUGGUAAGGUAACGGCUUACCAAGGCAACGAUACGUAGCCGACCUGAGAGGGUGAUCGGCCACACUGGAACUGAGACACGGUCCAGACUCCUACGGGAGGCAGCAGUAGGGAAUCUUCCGCAAUGGGCGAAAGCCUGACGGAGCAACGCCGCGUGAGUGAUGAAGGUCUUCGGAUCGUAAAACUCUGUUAUCAGGGAAGAACAAAUGUGUAAGUAACUGUGCACAUCUUGACGGUACCUGAUCAGAAAGCCACGGCUAACUACGUGCCAGCAGCCGCGGUAAUACGUAGGUGGCAAGCGUUAUCCGGAAUUAUUGGGCGUAAAGCGCGCGUAGGCGGUUUUUUAAGUCUGAUGUGAAAGCCCACGGCUCAACCGUGGAGGGUCAUUGGAAACUGGAAAACUUGAGUGCAGAAGAGGAAAGUGGAAUUCCAUGUGUAGCGGUGAAAUGCGCAGAGAUAUGGAGGAAACACCAGUGGCGAAGGCGACUUUCUGGUCUGUAACUGACGCUGAUGUGCGAAAGCGUGGGGAUCAAACAGGAUUAGAUACCCUGGUAG
rnacentral:rRNA from 1 species